UAGGGAAUCUUCGGCAAUGGACGAAAGUCUGACCGAGCAACGCCGCGUGAGUGAAGAAGGUUUUCGGAUCGUAAAACUCUGUUGUUAGAGAAGAACAAGGGUGAGAGUAAUUGUUCACCCCUUGACGGUAUCUAACCAGAAAGCCACGGCUAACUACGUGCCAG
rnacentral:rRNA from 1 species